GAUGAACGCUGGCGGCGUGCCUAAUACUUGCAAGUCGAGCGAACAGAUAAGGAGCUUGCUCCUUUGACGUUAGCGGCGGACGGGUGAGUAACACGUGGGUAACCUACCUAUAAGACUGGAAUAACUCCGGGAAACCGGGGCUAAUGCAGGAUAACAUGUUGAACCGCAUGGUUCUACAGUGAAAGGCGGCUUUGCUGUCACUUAUAGAUGGACCCGCGCCGUAUUAGCUAGUUGGUGAGGUAACGGCUCACCAAGGCAACGAUACGUAGCCGACCUGAGAGGGUGAUCGGCCACACUGGAACUGAGACACGGUCCAGACUCCUACGGGAGGCAGCAGUAGGGAAUCUUCCGCAAUGGGCGAAAGCCUGACGGAGCAACGCCGCGUGAGUGAUGAAGGUCUUCGGAUCGUAAAACUCUGUUAUUAGGGAAGAACAAAUGCGUAAGUAACUGUGCGCGUCUUGACGGUACCUAAUCAGAAAGCCACGGCUAACUACGUG
rnacentral:rRNA from 1 species